UGAGGUUUCCCCUCAAGCCUGGCAGGAAAACAAAGAGGGAAAUAUGAGCAUGAUCACUGAAAUAACAAUUGCUUUAAUGCAUUAUCAGGCACAAUGAUUUCCUGGUGGCAAAAGGAUGAUGGAGUGAGGCCGGCAGGGACUGCGGGAAGGCGGCACACGGCAUUCCAAGAGGAACACGGGCAGAGAAGAAAACCUGUUCCCUUGGUCUCCAUGCAGAAGAUUCCCGGAGCCAGCUGUGUCCUCGGGAGCAGCAGAUGAAGGCAAAACUAUGGAAAGAAGAGCAAAACUCCCCAAAAGCCCCGGAGUGCAGAGCUGCCAGCGCUCCUGCAGCAGCCUGCCGCAGUCCGGGGAUUUCCCUUCCUGUCUCCAAGCCAGCUCCUCAAAGAGCCGAUCCCUGCCGAGUGUCUGCUCCCGGGGAAAAGCUGGAUGUUCUCCACUGGAGUGCCUGCUGGCAAGAGGGAUGAACAGCCUGGGAAGGGCAGGGCUGUGGAGAGGGGAGCCUACCGCUCUCUGCCCGCUCCUCGCUGGGACCGGCAGCACAAAGAGGAUGGAGUCAGGGAUCGGAGAUAUCGGAACCUGCCUGGGGGCGGGAUCUGUCCCGGUCCCCGUGGCUCGUUCAGCAUCCUGAAGCCGUGGGAGCUGCCGGGAGUCGGGAUGGGAGCAGGAGAGCUUUAUCCUUGCCAGCCAUCCAUGGGAUUCCAUCCCUUCUGCUCCAUCCCUGCCUCUCCACCCCCGUGGCUUCAUCCCUGUGCAAUCCCCAGCCCAGCUCUGCAGCUUGGAGGGUUCGGGAUACUCCUGAAACAAAGCCACACAUCAGGAGGACGCUUUGGAGCAUUUGAAAUUUGACCACCGCGAAGGAAAAGAUGAGGGAACCAAAAAAAAAGAAAGAAGGGUUAAUGUGAAAAUAAUAAAUUGCAAACAUUCCUGUGGUGGAAGUGGAUU
rnacentral:lncRNA from 1 species